CAACUCCAGAACCACUCCCCAGCACCCCUCUCCUCACCCCCACCCAGCUCCUCUUACUCUCCUGGAGGGACAGGCAGGGCUCGCUGAGGACCCGCUCUCCCUCCAAGCUCCCGCUGUACCUCCCAUUCAGCACUUUCAAUGGGGACCCAGGGAGAGAAUGAGAGUCAGGGGCUGGUUUCAGCCAGCGAGCAGCAGGCAGAGAGAGAAAAACUGGCAAAGAAGUUUGCUUGUGCUGGGUCCCAGCUUUGUCAGCCAGCUGGGCCAGAUGCCACCGUGGAGGCAUCUGUCUCCACACAUCCUGUUUCUGGGGAUUGAUUCGCACAGCUGUCUCUUAGAUGGAAAGGAGGUGGCUGCCAACAGGACGCAGAGCAUCCUUCCAGCCCUACUUUAGGCAGGAUAGCUGAGUGGGAAGAUCCUGGGUUUUCAGUUGGGCAGGGAUUUCAAUCAGAUUCUGACACUCCCUAGAGGUGUCACCUUGGGUAAAUUGCCCAUACUGCCAGAGAUGUAUAAUAGCGGUAAGAAUGCUUGGUUCAAAUCCCAGUUCUCCUUCCUAGCUGUGUGGCCUCAGACAACUUACCUGAUAUCUCUGAAUCUCAGUUCUCUGAAUCUCUGAAAUGGGGAUCAUACCUGUACUUAUUCUUGUAGGAUUGUUGGGAAGAUUGAGUGACUUAAUGCACAUUCAAGAGUUUAGAACAGUGCCUGGCACCAAGUGUAGUCUCUGACUGUUAUAACCUUCUCUGAGCCUGUAAAAUGGGGUAACCUCACCUACUUCUGGGGUCAUUCUGAAGGACCAAAGAGCUAAUGGAAGUGAAGCACCUAGUCAUAUGCCUGGCACACGAGAGAUGCUCAAAAAUGGUAAUCUUAAUGGAAGUAGGAUUAUAUAGUAGGCUGAGUCCUUAGUCUGAGAACUACCUUGCGUAAUACACUUUAUGUCUCUGAGGCUCAACUUGGACACCUGUAAAAUGGGUCUUGCUGAAGGUUUGUCAGUUUUGUUGGUAUUUUCAAAGAACCCAUUCCAGGGGCCAGCCUGGUGGUGUAGUGGCCGUUCUCCACACUGUGCAGAGGGAUUAUUUUAAAACACAAAUGUGAUACAGUCAGCAACUUGAUGGAAACAACCUCAAUGGCUGCUUGCUGCUCUCUGGAUAAAGAUCAACAUGCUGUGUCCUACAAGGCCCUGAGGUCUCCAACAGGAGGCUUACCAUCUUCAUCUAGUCCUCAGUUGCAUUUUUUAAAAAAUAAAAUUGAACUGGCAAUGCUCUGUUUCUUGAUCUGGGUGCUGAACACUGGUACUUACC
rnacentral:lncRNA from 1 species